GUUAGCUACUUGUGUGCGUUUAUUCGAGCCUUUUCAACUAGUUUCAGCCUAUCACAGCCAAAAUACAGGGUUAACAAAGGAAUUCCCUGUGUCAUCUGCACAGCCUGCCUGAGAAAGAAUUCAGAGAGGUCUGCGAGGUCCCGCUCCCUUCAUUGUUGAUUCAGCGGCACACCCCCCACCCAGGACCCAUAAAUGGAAGCAGUCCUUUGUGCGAGGGGAGUGGAGCAGAUUUACUGUGGAUGGUCUCCCUACAAAGGACCAUGCCGCUGUCACAACAGGACCAGGAUCAGCUGCUCCCGCUUUCACACAAUCGCUGAAUUACACUAACACGCUCAUCUUUCUCAAGGAUGGAGUGAGUUAAACCACAGACAUUAAUUCCAGUUUUACUAUCGUGCUGUAGGUCCAGAUGUCCAAU